UACGUAGGGACCAAGCGUUGUCCGGAAUCAUUGGGCGUAAAGAGCGUGUAGGCGGCUUGUUAAGUCUUGCGUGAAAGUUCGGGGCUCAACCCUGAAUCGGCCGUCGAUACUCCUGGGCUCGAGCACUGUAGAGGCAGAUGGAAUUCCGGGUGUAGCGGUGGAAUGCGUAGAGAUCCGGAAGAACACCGGUGGCGAAGGCGGUCUGCUGGGCAGUUGCUGACACUGAGGCGCGACAGCGUGGGGAGCAAACAGG
rnacentral:rRNA from 1 species